rnacentral:rRNA from 1 species
AUUGAACGCUGGCGGCGUGCCUAACACAUGCAAGUCGAGCGGUAACAGGUGUAGCAAUACAUGCUGACGAGCGGCGGACGGGUGAGUAACGCUUGGGAAUCUGCCUAUUAGUGGGGGACAACCCGGGGAAACUCGGGCUAAUACCGCAUACGCACUACGGUGGAAAGCCGGGGACCGCAAGGCCUGGCGCUAACAGAUGAGCCCAAGUCGGAUUAGCUAGUUGGUAGGGUAACGGCCACCAAGGCGACGAUCCGUAACUGGUCUGAGAGGACGACCAGUCACACCGGAACUGAGACACGGUCCGGACUCCUACGGGAGGCAGCAGUGGGGAAUAUUGGACAAUGGGCGAAAGCCUGAUCCAGCGACGCCGCGUGGGUGAAGAAGGCCUGCGGGUUGUAAG